AAAAAAAAAAAAAAAAAAAACCCCAAAAAAAA
rnacentral:rRNA from 1 species